CCAUUAAUUAAUUAAUAAUGCAUGAAAUAUAUCUUUACCAAAACAAAAUAACUUUCUUAUAAAUUCAUUUUUUUAGGAACGGAUAGUUUAUUUUACCAAAUGAUAGGUAACAACUAGUAAAUCAGAGACGAGAAAAGGAUUACAAUUAACAGAAUUUGAACAGCUAGAACAGUAACUGAUUUUGCCCAAAGAAAAAGAACAGUCAUUGAUGAGCUCGCUGAUUGUACAUGAUUUGGUUUGGCAUGAAUCUCUCUUCCUAACCAGGUGGCCACUUCAUCUGUCGGCCCCCAAGGACGUGGAGAUGAAGAUGGUAAACGGAUUGGCCUUGAUGAGAGGAAGUUAAGUGAGUUAAGUGUAUGAUAAUGAUGAUGAAUACAAAUUAGGAUGAUAUUUGGUUGGAUGGAAAAGACUUACAUCCUUCAGCACCGUUGUUUAUAACCACACGGAACCCAUCCACAAUGCCUUCUUUCUCAGCAACAAUCUUUGAUGCGUGCAGAAGUUGACCUAGAACUUCUAUGUGUCUUGGCUCAGCCUGCAAGAGUGUUUCACAGGAAGACAAUGUUCAGGUAAGAUAUUAAUCUAUUCCUCCAAAAGAAAAACUUAACUCUUCUUUCCACAAAGACUAUUUCCUCUAAUUACAAGAUUAUGAAUGAUCAGAAACACAGGACAUAACCCACAAUGCUGCUAGUCAUUACUCGUUACGAAACAACAUAACAAUUGGCCACAAGAUGAGACUCUGUGACAUGUGGACUGUAAAACCUAUUCGAUUGUGAUGGAAACACACACAAGGACCUAUUUGUUUUCCGCAAUUGCUUUCGAAUGUGCAACCCCGAGAAAGACCAACAUGGUUUCUUUCUUUAAAACUAGAAUGUGAAUCUCUAUUUCAACCUUACUAGAGAGGCAGAUUGAAUGCUAAAUUUAAAAAUUGGUCACCUUGCCAAGCGUGGUCAAGCCAUCUCUCAACUUAGGGAUGACCAAAACAUGAACAGGAGCCUGUGGGUUUAUGUCUCUGAAUGCCAAAACAUUCUCAUCUUCAUAGACAAUGUCUGAUGGAAUCUCUUUCGCUAUGAUCUUGUCAAAUCUAAAAACAAGAGCAUAAGAAUCAUUUCUAAACCCAUCACCAACAUAACAAACUAGGUCAGAUGUCUGAAAGAUUAGGCUCAUUUGUAUCAAAACACAAAAACAUGGAUUGUUCUGUAAUCAGUUAUUGAACUACAAUCCUUCAGACAAAGCGUACAUGGUCGGGGCUCCGGUGUCAGAAGCAGCUUUCGCGGCGGCCUCUUCAUUGUGUGCGGCACGAGUAGAAGAGAUGGAUCUGCCGAGCGAUAUAAACCAAAAUAAACGAGGAACUCAAAAUUAUCCACAUAUACAAAAACGAACUGAUUGAUUUUGACCUUGGAGAAGCAAUACGAGGAAGAACCCGAAUAAUCUCUCCGGCAGAGAAGAUUCUUGAAUUCGCUCGAACAGACUGAGCAAUCCUCCCCACCGUAGGGAGGUUCCUGAACACGAUACACACAUUAGCAAAUCAAUUCAACAACCAGCUCAAUUAUAUCUGUAGUUGACCAGUUUUACCGGAGCAGCAUCAUAGAGGAGGAAGUGACAGCCAUUCAAGAAGCUCUGCUUCGGCAACCAUUUCGAUCGACUUCGUAGCGAGUCUUUGUACAGACCUCAUCGUAGCGAAUCCUGAUAGAAACGACGUCGUAAUGAAUCUUUAUAUUUUGUUCACAUAAUAUUAUUUAGAGAAAAUGAGUAGGAUAACGCUAAAAAAAGUUUUUUUCACAAAUAUAGGUUCUAAAAAUAAAAAUGACCAAAAUAGCACUUAAUGUUUUAUCAAAAGAGAUAAAUAUACAUUUAUACCCCAAUGGUAAAUUAAUUUAGACAUUAUGAUUUAGAGUUAAGUGGUGGAGUUUAGGAUUUAGGGUUUAUGGUUUAGGGUUUAGAGUUUAGGGUUUAUAGUUUAGGGGUGGGGUUUAGGAUUUAGGGUUUAGAGUUAAGGAGUGGGGUUUAAGAUUUAGGGUUUAGGGUUUAGAGUUUAGAGGUGGGGUUUAGGUUUAGGGUUUAUAGUUAAGGGGUGGGGUUUAGGAUUUAGGGUUUAGGGUUUAGGGUUUAGGUUUUAGGGUUUAGGUUUUAGGGUUUAGGAUUUAGAGUUUAGGGUUUAGAGUUUAGGGUGGGGUUUAGGGUUUAGUGUCUUGAACCAACCGGUGUUUUGUGUAGACCGAGACAACAUGCAUAAGACAACUUCAUUUUUUCGUAGAACUUAGUUCCCUAUUGUGUUCAUUGUGGCCCUGAACUAUUCCUGGUUUUCAUGAGUAAACUUAGAAAAUAUAGCCUUGCAUUCAUUCUCAUAGAAACGGCCCCAUUUCACACUCAUUAGGUGAUUGACCAUGAAAAGUAUUGAGUAAUACUCCGCUUUGGAAGCUAUGGAAUCAUUAAAAGCUUAUGCUUAUCCUUCUCAGAUUUGUUAGCACUUUUAUCAUCUUAAGAACUGGGAAGAGACUACUUUGUCUCAAGUGCUUUGGUUAGAUUCAGUUUGAUUUUGUUUUCCCUUUGAACCUACGUCUUGUGAUCUCCAGUCAUGAUAGGUAGGGCUGCAAUCAAGCAUCUUCAUUCGUUAUAGGCUUUAAACUCAUUCCUUUUGAUGAUUUAGCAACAACAUCUCGUGACAAAUCUUUUGUAAAUGGAUCCGCUAGGUUGUCAGCCGAUUUGAUGUAGUUUAUUGUGAUUACACCAGUUGAGAUAAGUUGUCUAAUUAAUUAUAUACAUAAAUAAUAGAUAAAAAUUAGUUUUAUAUAUAACAUUCAUCCCGCGGAAUCGCGCGAGUUACAACUUAAACGUGUUGGACGUUGGCCCAACAUCAUUCAAGUUGGCCUAGUCCGAAGACCAAUCAAAAUCAUUUAGGCGUCAUAUCGACCCAUAAAAAGAGAAACCCACAUUUUUGCAAGUUCGUUCAUAAAGCCUUUAUAAUCUUGGGAUUAGACAACGGAUAGUGUCAGCAUACUAGGGUUGGACAUCACCGAUUGUAGUUGCUUCACUAACCACCAACUACAAACAAAAAAAAACUUGGAUAUUUUAACGUGAUACGUCUUCGCAAUGUGCUGUUACGAUGACCUAUGAAUCAACUGAUCAACUUCUUAGAGUUAGGAGAAUCAGCAUAUAAUUAAAGAGAGUUCGGUUGACGACUCAUUCACAAUUCGGUUGAUGACAUGUUAUUCUCUAUAUACUCUUCUGCUCCAUGUACCUUUGUACCGAGCCCCUCUCUUUCUCUCAUUUUUUUUUGUUGAUUGAAAUACCCGUCAGCAAAAAGACAUCUAUCAAAAGUUGCUCCUACGAACUAAACUUUAGUGUGGGUCAAUAGUUGAUGAAAGGUAUCUACAAAUUAAAGCCAGCUAGUUCCUCCAAUAAUGGUCAACUUAGGCAUCUACAAACCAAUAUUUUCAUCAUUUCCAAACAAUCUCCCAUAAGAUAAAACUAAAUUUUCACAGAUAACAAGGUUGUAGAAUAAAAUCAAAUAAAGUGACAAACUCAAAAUCCUUUCAAAUCAUAGAUUAAUCAAAUCAAAACACUACCAAAAGAGUGUUCACGUCUAUACAUACACAUUAGAUAACAACUAUUAUUCAAAUACCACUGCCUCUUCUUCUCCAAUCUUACAUUACCUCAAUAUAGUAUACAGAGAGAAAGACAGAGAAGAACUAGUACCAUCAUGAUCUCACAUGUCUAAAUUCUCCAACUGAAUGUUGCUCUUAAGAGGCACAUAAUCUCCAAGAUACCCACCAAGAUGAUCAUACAAAGCCGUCUUAUCAAUAGUCUGAUGAUGAUAACUCUUGCAAACGUAAUAAAACACACUCUGAACCAACAAACCCACCAAAUUCACCAUCACAAGAACACCAACAAGCAACCCACCAACAAGGGUCCUAGUCAAAGUCCCAAACUUUCCUCCUCCAUGAACCACAAUCGAUCCAAAAGUACCUCCAAUUAAUGCACAGAGAAAAAGGUAAACAAAGACCAACCCCAUAGCCAUCUUAGUCUUCCCCUUAAGAAGCUCAUAAGCUUUUCUCAUGGCAGAAAGUCCAUAAACAGGCUCAAGAACAGAGAUCACACUACCUAGAUGCCAUAGGGCAGUGAAAUAGACAUGAACAACAAAGUAAAGAACAGAGAUUAUAACUCCAGCGAUGACCGCUAAGCCUACACUGUUCAUAUCGAGAGCUAUGAAUAGUAUCACUAGGAAAACAAAGAAGACAGCGUUGUAAGCGAACAUCAAGAGUGCAACCCAAAGAAAAGUGAUCAAGAGGCGUUUAAAGACUUUGGGGAUGGCGGAGAUGGUGGAGGAGAAGGAGACUGUUUUGCCGGUGUAGAGAGAAGCAACGGUGAAGACUACGGCGGCGGUUGAGAGGAGAGAGAAGGCGAAGAGGAAGAUGAGGUAGCUGAACUCGAAGAUGAGGAGCACGGUCCAGUCGUGGCGGGAGCGAUCGGAGUUAGGUGGGUCGGAGGAGGAGAGCUUGGAGAGAAUGGGCUGAGUGAAGAGGGAGUGAGCGAGGAUGGCGAAGGAGAGAGGGAAGAUGAGGGAGAGGGUGAUGAGGUAGAAGGUUCUUGGAGAUCGUUUCUUGAUUGAGAUGGAUUCUUCAACUAGUUGAGGGAUCGUCAAGAACUGGAGUUCUUCUGGCUGCAGAUCCAUGCCUUGUUUCUUCUGUGAGAAUUCUGAAAGGAAGAUGAGAUUUGUUUCUGAAUGCCCCCAAGAGGAUGAAUAUUGAAGACGAAGACUUUUGGUGGAAACUUCAACCAAACUAUUAUUAUCAUGUUUGUGUGUUUCUUUGACCCGUUUGACCAAUUUUUUUUUUUCUUUAAUAGAAUUAUUCUUUGCUUAAUACUCCAUGUAAAGUCUUCUUCUAUGGGCAGACUUCUUCUUUUUUUCUUGCAUGAUGAUGGGACGCAAUCCAGGAAGUAAGACUUUCCAUCUUCUCCUAUUUUUUAGCAAGACUUUUUAUUUGAACAAUCGCUUUUUGUUUUUUCUUUGGUUAAUAGUGAAAAUUCCGGACCUUUUAAGUCUUUUGACACCUCUAGCAUAGAUUGGUUGACAAUAUAGGAAACAUGAUUUAACUCUUUAAAUUGCAAGAUCAUUAAAAAGCAAAUUGUGUUCUUAAGCCAAUUAACAGACUAAAAGCAUGGAUGAGAGGUAGAAAACAUGUGGUUUUCUUGUCAAUCUUUCUCAUAUCGUUGCUUUUCAGAUCAUAACCGAGAACAUGAAAGGGAGAAAAGCAAAUCAUGUGGUAUCAAUAAAACCAUGCCAUUAUAACUUUACCUUAAAAUAAAUGUUAUUGACCAAAUGGAGCUGAUAAAGGUUGCAAAACCUAAGUCUUCCACCAUUCAUUGUUCUCGUCAUUUUCCAAACCUCAUAAAUCCACCGUACCCUUAUGCAUUUAAUAUUAAAUAUUACUUUUAAAUCUAUGUGAAAAUUCUAAAAAACUAAUUCUACUAGAAACAUAGGUAUAGUAAUUGUUAACUACUUUUCUUUUAAUUUUAACAGAAUUUUCAUAUAUUAAAAUAAUAUUUAAUCAUAAAUGAAUAAAAAUAAAGUAAACAAAUUCUAUAAAUGUAAAAUGAUAUUAAUCCAAUAGUACAAUUAGUUUCUAUAUAUCUUUUUACACUUAGAAUUAUUACCAUUAAUUAAUUAAUAAUGCAUGAAAUAUAUCUUUACCAAAACAAAAUAACUUUCUUAUAAAUUCAUUUUUUUAGGAACGGAUAGUUUAUUUUACCAAAUGAUAGGUAACAACUAGUAAAUCAGAGACGAGAAAAGGAUUACAAUUAACAGAAUUUGAACAGCUAGAACAGUAACUGAUUUUGCCCAAAGAAAAAGAACAGUCAUUGAUGAGCUCGCUGAUUGUACAUGA
rnacentral:lncRNA from 1 species